rnacentral:rRNA from 1 species
GACGAACGCUGGCGGCGUGCUUAACACAUGCAAGUCGAACGGAAAGGCCCUGCUUUUGUGGGGUGCUCGAGUGGCGAACGGGUGAGUAACACGUGAGUAACCUGCCCUUGACUUUGGGAUAACUUCAGGAAACUGGGGCUAAUACCGGAUAGGAGCUCCUGCUGCAUGGUGGGGGUUGGAAAGUUUCGGCGGUUGGGGAUGGACUCGCGGCUUAUCAGCUUGUUGGUGGGGUAGUGGCUUACCAAGGCUUUGACGGGUAGCCGGCCUGAGAGGGUGACCGGCCACAUUGGGAUUGAGAUGCGGCCCAGACUACUACGGGAGGCGGCGGUGGGGAAUAUUGCACAGUGGGCGGAAGCCUGAUGCAGCAACGCCGCGUGCGGGAUGACGGCAUUCGGGUUGUAACGCGCUUUCGCCUGUGACGAAGCGUGAGUGACGGUAAUGUGUAAAGAAGCACCGGCUAACUACGUG